CCUACGGGCGGCUGCAGUGGGGAAUAUUGGACAAUGGGCGAAAGCCUGAUCCAGCCAUGCCGCGUGUGUGAAGAAGGCCUUCGGGUUGUAAAGCACUUUCAGUGGGGAAGAAAGCCUUGAGGCUAAUACCCUCGAGGAAGGACAUUACCCACAGAAGAAGCACCGGCUAACUCCGUGCCAGCAGCCGCGGUAAUACGGAGGGUGCGAGCGUUAAUCGGAAUUACUGGGCGUAAAGCGCGCGUAGGCGGUCUGAUAAGCCGGUUGUGAAAGCCCCGGGCUCAACCUGGGAACGGCAUCCGGAACUGUCAGGCUGGAGUGUAGGAGAGGAAGGUAGAAUUCCCGGUGUAGCGGUGAAAUGCGUAGAGAUCGGGAGGAAUACCGGUGGCGAAGGCGGCCUUCUGGACUGACACUGACGCUGAGGUGCGAAAGCGUGGGUAGCAAACAGGAUUAGAUACCCUAGUAGUC
rnacentral:rRNA from 1 species